GAGAGAGAGAGGCAGAGACACAGGCAGAGGGAGAAGCAGGCUCCGCGCAGCGAGCCCGACGCGGGACUCGAUCCCCGGUCCCCAGGUCACGCCCUGGGCAGAAGGGGGCGCUAAACCGCUGCGCCAGCCCGGCUGCCCAUGAUUGAAAUUGCCGAUGGGAAAUUUUGAAGGAUAGAAGUUAAAAACGAGUGAAUGGGUGCUCAACUUUCCAUCUUUCGGGAGUAAAUGUAAGAAGUCUGGAGGCGGCUACCACAAGGUAGGGGAGCGGCGGGGAGCGCGGAGCAGCGGGCGCGGAGGCCGGGGCGCGAGGGGCGGGGCCGGCAGGCCGGCGGGUCCCCGGGGUGCACCAUAGAGGGCGCUGGAUGACCGAGGGACAGAGAGGCGCACGCCGCCCACGCCAGUGGCUCCGGGAACCCGCGCCGGCGAGCAAGAUGGCGGCCGUUUGACUGCGAGGCGAGGCGCGGCGCCGCGGGGUGCUGCCGGGGUGGCGACGGCGGGUUGGCUUGGAGCAACGGCCGCCGCCGGGACAGGCUCCCCGCGAGAUGGGACGUGAAGGGCUCCCGCCCGCCCCGCCGUCCUGCAGCUGCUGGAAUGACCUAGCAAUUGGCUAGGUAUACCCUGAACUAUAUAAGAUGUAUGGUGGGCCAGAAGCAGGCCUUCUUCCUGCAGACUUGGAAGGAGCUGAUGACAAAGGUCUGCCAGCAGAGCUCUGACUAUGUUCUUCAGUCUCAAAAAACAUAGAACAGCUACAGAAAAGGUACCACUGCCAUAAAUUUUGCCUACCCCAGGAAAUCUCCAGUUCAACUCUUGAGUUGCUCCGAUGAUCCACCCACCCUGGACCCAUACCCCUGUCUCCAGGCACUGAAUUUUAAGAGGAAAUUCCUGGAGACCCUAAAACCUUCAAGACACAAAGAAUGCAAGAUAGAGAAAAAUAGUGACAGUCAGUUCUUUUGGAGUAAAAUGUCACUGCCUCAAACAUACUUCAUAGGUAUUCAUCACAUACCAAUUCUGAAAUUAGCCUGCUUGUUAUGGUGUUAUGACAGCAAACAGUAUGCAAAGGUUGGGGUUGCCAAGAGGACCAAUGAUGCAUGUGAAUUUGUAAAGUAUCAUAAAAGUGGAGACUAUGUAUAG
rnacentral:lncRNA from 1 species